UCCUGUGUUCCGUAUCGAUUCCCAAACGCCGGCCGGAAUCCUCCGCCGCCGCAGGAAAGAAAAAACAGAACUGACGCUGGGAUAAGCAGAAGAAGAAACGGACCAGGCCCAACAGCUAGAGGGCCCAAUAACAACGCCCCACACCAAAGGGUCCGGGCAUCGUUUGCGCCGUCCCGACCCAGGAGCGGGCAGGAAACCCCUCGCCGUCGCCGCCGCCAGAGCCAGCACCAUGGCGGCCGCCGUCCGGCAUUGCAAGGCGGGGCGAACGGGCGCGGGCGCGGGCGCGCAUCGGCGGCGCCGGCACGUCGGAGGAGAAGAUGCUUCGCGCGGCGGCGGCGGCGGAUCGAGGGAAGGCACCGGCUGCGGCGGCCGGCUCGGGUAGAAGAAAAUGUUGUACAAGACGCCACGACAAACUUUGACAGCAUCCAUGAUUUGUUUCCCCCAUGGUAUGUUGUUCUCAGAGAAAUCCUAGUGUCAUUCCCUGUUCACUUUUUAAAGCUGCAAAGAGGAGUUGAGAACUAACCACUAACCUUCCAGCAAUGGACACCACAACAGAUCAGUCACUUGCACAUCAACCGCAGUAUUUUGUUUAUUUCCUCUGGAGCAAAUUAACAGACAGAAAACCAAGCAGCAACAUUGAAUUCAAUCCUCACGUUUCAGAUAGUUGAAAUUUUUCCAACAUGACUAUUUCACUACUUCCUUAUUACAGAGGCAAAGCUACCAAGCAGAGCAGGACUUGUAAAAAAAAAU